AAUAAGUCUGUUUCCAGAAAUUGAAGCCAUUUAUAUUUUUAUUUUAUUUUUUAUUUUCUGCCUCAUUACAUAACUGGAGUCUUGUGCAGUUUUACAAAUUUGCAGUCCUGUAACAUCACCCCCCCCUCCCCUCCUUUAACCCCUCCUUGGACUCCAAGAUGUAACAACGGUGUGACAUUACAAACAUGGCGACUGUAUUUUUAAUCCGUGUGGGAGAGCAAUAUGAAAUGUCCCUGUUGCACUCUGGCAGCUCUCUGGGGACUGGCAUGAGGUGUGUGCAGUCAGCUGCCUGGCGGAGGGACCCCAUCGGUCUACUAUUGAAGAGUUUCUGCAUUGCUGUCAUUCCUGCUGGGGGUAGCUGAUAGCACCAGUGUAAGGUAAGACAGAGGCUGUGUGUUCUUUCUGCAGACUCGCCUGCUGCAUUUACAGCCGGAUUUGUUUUCUGUGUAUUCUGCUGGUAUCUUUGAAGUCUUUUGUUUGCCAUAUUUGGAGAGUGUUGCCACUGAAGACCUGAGAGUUAUUACACAGCUGACAAGAUGGCAGGAAACAUCUUCCCCAACCUGGAUAAUCUGUGUAACGUGGAUUGCAGUAACAUCCACCCCCUGGUGUGUCACCUGUGCAAUGAGCAGUAUCAGUCUCCGUGUUUGUUGGACUGUUACCACAUCUUCUGUGCCCGCUGUCUGCGAGGCCGGACCAAUGACAGCCGUCUCAGCUGCCCCCUCUGUGGGUAAGAAAGUGCACUGUGACAUUCAUGAGGAGCAUUCAAGGCUGCAUGAGGAUUAGUAAUACAAACUGAAAAAAAACCCAAACUAUUCUUAUUAUCUCAUAUGGAAACUGUAAAGCAUGAGCCUACUGCAUAAAUGAAAUCUGUGCAAGAUGAAAGAUCUAAAUCAAUAUACAUUUUUUUGGGCUUUAUUAAGCAACUUUUUAACUACUCCAACCCACCCCUUGUAGAUCUUUGCCCUCCCUCACCUGCUCCAUGUAUGAAAGUGAUCUCUUGUGACGUGCAGAGUACUUUUGUGAGACCACAGCUGUGUAUGUGCAAGGACAGGACCACAUCCAGGUGCAUCUCUGACGGCACCAUGUCUGCAUUCACUCUAAACCCCCCCUCCCUAACACUAAAGCCCAAGUUUUCCAGCUGUUGUGCUGUUUCCCAUUGGUCACCACUUCUCUUUGCCAAAAUUUUGUUUCCUUUUUUAAAUUAAAAUCAAAUCAGAGCAGCUUGUAUCACCUGUCUUGAGUAUCUAGCAGUACAAUAAAAUAGUUUCAUCAACACA